rnacentral:rRNA from 1 species
AGAGUUUGAUCCUGGCUCAGAUUGAACGCUGGCGGCAUGCUUUACACAUGCAAGUCGAACGGCAGCACGGGCUUCGGCCUGGUGGCGAGUGGCGAACGGGUGAGUAAUGCGUCGGAACGCGCCGAGUAGUGGGGGAUAACGCAGCGAAAGCUGUGCUAAUACCGCAUACGUACUGAGGUAGAAAGUGGGGGACCUUCGGGCCUCACGCUAUUCGAGCGACCGACGUCUGAUUAGCUAGUUGGUGGGGUAAAGGCUCACCAAGGCGACGAUCAGUAGCGGGUCUGAGAGGAUGAUCCGCCACACUGGGACUGAGACACGGCCCAGACUCCUACGGGAGGCAGCAGUGGGGAAUUUUGGACAAUGGGCGCAAGCCUGAUCCAGCCAUGCCGCGUGUCUGAAGAAGGCCUU